UGGGUCAAAGAUAAAAAAUACGUAAGAAAUACUUGCUCAAUUUGUUUUGGAAUUAGUCUACAAUACCUUAUGUUAGGUACACAGCGCAUGAGUAUGCAGAAAUGCAUUUUAUCUACGGAAAAAGUCAUCAAAAUGCCAACGAAGCCGCUAAACUCUACAGGGAUCGAUUUUUUCUAAAAAACCGUUCUAACUGCAGAGUGUUUCCUGCUGUGCACAAAGCGUAUUGCGCAGGAAAAAUGCCAGGCGUUUCAGGAGGUCAAGGAAGAGCUCGUCAAUAUAAUGAUGAGGCCAAAUCCGCACUUAGUUGAAUUGAGUUGGGUAGAAAGCGGUCUUAUGGCAAGGCAGAAUCAAAAUGGACCUAACGAAUGGAAUAUACCCCUACGAAUAGGAAUCCUAUUAGUUUAAAUGCAGUUACCGUUAGGCACCUAGAGUUUUUUUGAUGUUCGCCAAGAUGCCAUAAUGCCUUGAUGCGGAUUGAUGCAGAUGCUAACUAAGAAGUCGAUAAUGCUAAUAAUAAGCGUCGUUUAGGAGGUAGGCCAAUUGUUGAUGUGUUG
rnacentral:lncRNA from 1 species